CAGCAGCGCGGUAAUACGUAGGGUGCAAGCGUUAAUCGGAAUUACUGGGCGUAAAGCGUGCGCAGGCGGUUAUAUAAGACAGAUGUGAAAUCCCCGGGCUCAACCUGGGAACUGCAUUUGUGACUGUAUAGCUAGAGUACGGCAGAGGGGGAUGGAAUUCCGCGUGUAGCAGUGAAAUGCGUAGAUAUGCGGAGGAACACCGAUGGCGAAGGCAAUCCCCUGGUCCUGUACUGACGCUCAUGCACGAAAGCGUGGGGAGCAAACAGGAUUAGAUACCCCAGUAGUCCCUGUCUCUUAUACC
rnacentral:rRNA from 1 species